rnacentral:rRNA from 1 species
CUACGGGACGCUGCAGUGAGGAAUAUUGCACAAUGGGGGGAACCCUGAUGCAGCAACGCCGCGUGGAGGAUGACGCAUUUCGGUGUGUAAACUCCUUUUAUAUGUCAAGAAAAUGACGGUAGCAUAUGAAUAAGCACUGGCUAACUCCGUGCCAGCAGCCGCGGUAAUACGGAGGGUGCAAGCGUUACUCGGAAUCACUGGGCGUAAAGGACGCGUAGGCGGGUUGGAAAGUCAGGUGUGAAAUCCUACAGCUUAACUGUAGAACUGCACUUGAAACUUCUAAUCUAGAGUAUGGGAGGGGGAGAUGGAAUUAGUGGUGUAGGGGUAAAAUCCGUAGAUAUCACUAGGAAUACCUAAAGCGAAGGCGAUCUCCUGGAACGUUACUGACGCUAAGGCGUGAAAGCGUGGGGAGCAAACAGGAUUAGAUACCCCGGUAGUC